rnacentral:rRNA from 1 species
GGCGUGGAUUAGGCAUGCAAGUCGCGCGAGAAAUUUCCUUCGGGAGAUGGAAAGCGGCGAAAGGGAGAGGAAUAAGUAGAAAUCUGCCCUCGGGACGGGGAUAGCGGCGGGAAACUGCCGGUAAUACCCGAUAACAUCUUCGGAUCAAAUUGUGUGAUUCCGCCUGGGGAUGAGUCUACUUCCUAUUAGCUAGUUGGCGGGGUAAUGGCCCACCAAGGCAACGAUGGGUAGCGGGUGUGAGAGCACGAUCCGCCUCACUGGGACUGAGACACUGCCCAGACACCUACGGGUGGCUGCAGUCGAGAAUCUUCGGCAAUGGGGGGCGAAAGCCUGACAGUGCGACGCUGCGUGGAGGAUGAAGGCCUUCGGGUUGUAAACUCCUGUCAUUCGGGAACAACGGCGGGAGGGUGAAUAAUCCUUCCGAUUGAUGGUACCGGAAGAGGAAGCCACGGCUAACUCUGUGCCAGCAGCCGCGGUAAUACAGAGGUGGCGAGCGUUGUUCGGAUUUACUGGGCGUAAAGGGUGCGUAGGUGGUCCUGUGUGUCGGAUGUGAAAUCCCACUGCUCAACGGUGGAACUGCAUUCGAAACUGCAGGGCUAGAGUGCAGGAGAGGAGAGCGGAAUUCUUGGUGUAGCGGUGAAAUGCGUUGAUAUCAAGAAGAACACCGGUGGCGAAGGCGGCUCUCUGGAAUGUUACUGACACUGAGGCACGAAAGCUGGGGGAGCAAACAGGAUUAGAUACCCUGGUAGUCCCAGCCCUAAACGGUGUACAUUUGUUGUUGGUGGAAUUGACCCCAUCAGUGACGGAGCUAACGCGUUAAAUGUACCGCCUGGGGAGUACGGCCGUAAGGCUAAAACUCAAAGAAAUUGACGGGGGCCCGCACAAGCGGAGGAGCAUGUGGCUUAAUUCGAUGCAACGCGAAGAACCUUACCUGGGCUUGACAUGCAGCUGCAGUCCCGGCGAAAGUCGGGAUGCCUUCGAGGGUGCUGCACAGGUGCUGCAUGGCUGUCGUCAGUUCGUGCCGUGAGGUGUUUGGUUAAGUCCAGCAACGAACGCAACCCCUGUGUUUAGUUGCCACCCCCGAUGAUGAGUCGGGGAGCACUCUAGACAGACUGCCCGUGUAAGCGGGAGGAAGGUGGGGAUGACGUCAAGUCAGUAUGGCCCUACGCCCAGGGCUGCACACGUGCUACAAUGGGAGUUACAGAGGGAUGCGAAACCGCGAGGUGGAGCUAAUCCUCAAAAGCUCCCUCAGUUCAGAUUGAAGUCUGCAACUCGACUUCAUGAAGU